UACAGAGGGUGCAAGCGUUAAUCGGAAUUACUGGGCGUAAAGCGUGCGUAGACGGUUAUGUAAGUCGGGUGUGAAAGCCCCGGGCUCAACCUGGGAAUGCCAUUCGAGACUGCAUAGCUAGGGUGCGGAAGAGGGAAGCGGAAUUUCCGGUGUAGCGGUGAAAUGCGUAGAUAUCGGAAGGAACACCAGUGGCGAAAGCGGCUUCCUGGUCCAGCACCGACGUUCAGGCACGAAAGCGUGGGGAGCGAACAGG
rnacentral:rRNA from 1 species